GGGCAUUUGGUCUAGUGGUAAGAUUCUUGCUUUGGGUGCGAGAGGUCCCAAGUUCGAUUCUCGGAAUGCCCG
rnacentral:tRNA from 1 species